CUUUCUAAAAACAUGUCUCUCGCCCAAUUUUGAUUUUCUAUUCCGAUAGCGGAUUUGAACACUCCGAUUGUCCUGUGGUUUGAUAAACUCGAGUGGGUGUAUUUUUUUCCGUCAAUUUUCUCGGUCGAUUUUCUUCUUUGGUACUCUUAGAUAAUUUGAAUGCGAUUUCUCCCUUAAUUUGAGGUUUUCUAGUAGUCCUCGGUUAAACUUGAUUGCCUGUCGACAUGUCGUUGGUAAUAGCGAUCAUUCCAUAGGAAAGCAAUGAUUUUCUUGUUAGUUCAUCCAUCGGCGUGUCUCGCCACCGGAGGAAAGGAUCCUUUUUUUCCCGAAUCGGAGGAACAAUGUAAAGGCGAAAUUGUCAGUUUGUGGCAGAGAACUUAACUCUUUUCCUGGAAGCAAUUAAAUUUGUUAUGUUGUCCCCCCCCCCCCCCCCCAAAAAACAACAAAAGAAAAAAAAAAUCAGUUUCUCGGUUGUUUUUCCCCACUUUUAACGUCGUGUUCAUCAUUUGGUGCUUGUAAGUAAAUACUUGUUACUGCUGUAUGAAUCGCCUGAAUGACAGCUCUUACAUAUUUCUCAUCUAUUUUAGAGUCUUUCAUUAGAUUCUGCCUUACUUUUCAUGUCAGAAAGACAAGUGUAAGCUGAUUAUUCUUUUUGCAGGGGCAUCUGAAUCAAAGAGGGAGGGUGCUGGUUUGCGGGGGCAGCGGGACUUCUGCGAGCUUAGAAUCCUCUCUCGUUUAUUGAUCAAAGCACAGCAUAUGCUGUUGGAGGAUCUUUUUCUCAACACUUGAAUGUUGCACUAUCUAUUUUAGCUGAUCAGUUGAAGAGGGAAGUAUUUUAAGCUGAAGGGAGAUAGAAGCUGGCAUAAUGGGUUCUGUUUGUUGUUGCUUGAGAGCUGAUCAAUUUGAAGAUUAUGUAAAUCGAAAUGGUUCUGUAUAUAGGAAUUGUGUGUGUCUCAAUUGCUUCCUACAGAACUUUUUGAAUGCGUAUUCAGCAAUAUUCCGCAGAGGCGAAGUGCAUUCACUACCUUCAUCCAUACAGGGGGCAGCAUCUAUGACUUCUGCAGCAUCACUCGAUAAUUCACUAUCUGACAUGUACCAUUCUCCACCAAGGCCCUUGCCUUAUGAUGUAGACCCCAGGCAUUUCCGCUCACGUCAUUUAUUUGUUUCAAGGCAUGACAAAGGUUCUAGUCAUUUGAAUGAAGAGUCAGAACCUCUAAGAGGUGCUGUGGAUGGGGAUCAAGAAUCCUUAAAUUCUGGAGGCAAAUGGAACGGAUCUACCUGUGAAGAUGCAUCACAGGAAUACAGAUCUAAGUCCUCAGUAAGGUUCUCAUCAGCAAAAUAUGCAACUGGUGCUGGGCUUGUUUAUGCAUCAUUUGAAGAUGAGGAUCUUUGCCCAACUUGUCUUGAAGAAUAUACUGAAGAGAACCCAAGGAUAUUGACAAAGUGCAAUCAUCAUUUUCAUCUUAGUUGCAUUUACGAGUGGAUGGAGAGAAGUGAAAACUGUCCAGUUUGUGGGAAGGUGAUGGUAUUCGAUGAAACAACUUAAUUUUGAACAUAAAAGAUUGUGAUGUGGAUGAAGCCUGUUACGGAGGAAAGUAGACAUUGUGAAUACUGCAGAGUGAUUGUCAUGUACAGUAUAAAGGGAACCGAAGCUUAACAACGGGAUGCAGAGAUCAAGGACUGCGUUUGGAGUUAAAUAGCAGAGCCAAUGUUGGUCAGUUUAUUAUUACUGUUUAGGAAUAAACGUAAGCAAGUGAGAUGAGAUAUAUAAAAGACGUCGCAUUAUUUCUUUUGACACAUGUUUA